GAUGAACGCUGGCGGCGUGCCUAAUACAUGCAAGUCGAGCGAACAGACGAGGAGCUUGCUCCUCUGACGUUAGCGGCGGACGGGUGAGUAACACGUGGAUAACCUACCUAUAAGACUGGGAUAACUUCGGGAAACCGGAGCUAAUACCGGAUAAUAUAUUGAACCGCAUGGUUCAAUAGUGAAAGACGGAUUUGCUGUCACUUAUAGAUGGAUCCGCGCCGCAUUAGCUAGUUGGUAAGGUAACGGCUUACCAAGGCAACGAUGCGUAGCCGACCUGAGAGGGUGAUCGGCCACACUGGAACUGAGACACGGUCCAGACUCCUACGGGAGGCAGCAGUAGGGAAUCUUCCGCAAUGGGCGAAAGCCUGACGGAGCAACGCCGCGUGAGUGAUGAGGGUCUUCGGAUCGUAAAACUCUGUUAUUAGGGAAGAACAAAUGUGUAAGUAACUAUGCACGUCUUGACGGUACCUAAUCAGAAAGCCACGGCUAACUACGUG
rnacentral:rRNA from 1 species